CAGAUGAGUAGAAUUUCCUGAAGAAAGUAUUUGAAGUGUAAUGCUGGAUGUGCUCUCUAACAUAAAUUUCCACAUUUAUAUACUGACUUGAAUUUAUUUAGUUGAUUGAAAUUUAGUGACCUCCUAACCUUGAUUAAUUUGCUUGGAGUGCUGUCCGGCCUCCUGAAAUUGUAACGCACGUUUUGUGGCGCUUAUUUCAUUUUGGUUUUGUUACACUCAUCCCAAGGCUGAUGGUUCAGAGACGGUGACUCCAAAGGAACACCUAGGGAGUUCUAAGCUUAUGAAGAAAGAACUUGAAACUGUGCAUAAGGAGAUGCCAGAGGUGCUCCAGGACAAUUUAACUGCCCAAAGCCUUGAAAAAGCAAAAUCUCCUUAUGAUCAACAAUGUACUGGAAUGAAUGAGGUCCUGGAGAUGAUCCGUAAUGGUGUUUCUCUUAGACGCAUCACCAAGGUACACAAGGACAAUUUUCAAUCAGAUGAGGAGGAGCCUCAAACCAGUGACCAAGCUGCGCCGGAACUUCACAGUAUCUUGAAGAAACGUAGGGAAUGUUCAGAGAAAUGCGUUUCAGAUACUUCAGUGAAAGAGAACCCUGUUGACACUGCGGUUCGAGGCCAGGAAUCUCCAUGGGAUCAUCCAGGCCUGAGGCAAAGCCCAAGGCAAAAUGCCCUUGGUGGUCACUGCCAAGUUAACGAGUAUGAAGAGGAUGGGGGCGUAGAGCGGUGAGCAUAAACUGUUUGAUUGGCUUAUUGUAGCAGUUUGUCAUUGAAUUUCCUUCUUUUUGGAAAGAUUUGCAUAUAAUGGAUGAGGGGGCGCAGUGUUGCAGUGGUCUUAGCCGGGUCCUGCUCUCCGGUGGGUCUGGGGUUCGAGUCCCGCUUGGGGUGCCUUGCGACGGACUAGCGUUCUGUUCGGGGGGGGGGGGUGUGUCCCCCCCAGCCUUGUGCCCUGUGCUGCUGGGUUAGGCUCCGGCUCCCUGCAACCCUCUUCAGGACAAGCAGCUUUAGACUGUGUGCGCGUAUAAUGGCGAACAUGCCCCAAGAUUGGCCUUGAGGCUUAAUUCCUGUUGAGAUGUGGGCAAUGUAAAUGGAGUACUGCUGACACUUUCUAAUUCAGGUUAGAACUGUGCCUGCACAGUUCUCAUCUUGUGCUUUUAUUUGGUUGCAUAUGUUUACUGUACUGCUUAAACCCCC
rnacentral:lncRNA from 1 species